UACGUAGGGUGCAAGCGUUGUCCGGAAUUAUUGGGCGUAAAGAGCUCGUAGGCGGUCUGUCGCGUCUGCUGUGAAAACUCAGGGCUUAACCCUGAGCUUGCAGUGGGUACGGGCAGACUAGAGUGCGGUAGGGGAGACUGGAAUUCCUGGUGUAGCGGUGAAAUGCGCAGAUAUCAGGAGGAACACCGGUGGCGAAGGCGGGUCUCUGGGCCGUAACUGACGCUGGAGGAGCGAAAAGCCGUGGGGAGCAAACAGG
rnacentral:rRNA from 1 species